CACAACCCUUGGGCUGGAGGAGCUGGAGAUCAGGGAGACGAUGAGUAGAUUCAGCCGACCAAACCGGUGAUGAAUCCAGUCCCACUAGCUGGACAGACCUUCUGGUUCGAUAUCCCUCCUGCCAAGUCCAAGCAGGCUGCUUGGGGUAGCUUUUUUAAUUAGAUCUACGCCUUCAGUGCCGUGGAAGACUUCUGGAGGAGGACUAACACAUUGUUGUAGAUGACAAAUUCCAGAGGAUGCUAGAAGCAAUGCAUGGCUUUCUUUCGACCGGAAGAUCAGGUAGCAACUCUCAAGAGGAUAUUUUGUGCUAAUAUAUAUGAGCCAGCACCCACUUCCAACAGUCAACAAGUAUGGCCAGACAGGAAUCUAGGCGUGUGACCCAGACAACAUGUUCAAACUACAUGGGAGUACUGGAGGAAAGCCAUCAAGUGCAUGUUAAUUUAUCACCAUUCCACAGCCUUUCCUGUAUAUAUCUACUGUUGUUUGUAAACUAGUGCCCCCAUGUUUUUUCUUUUAUUUUCAGAUUUAUUGCUCAUUGUCCAUUGAAGUAAGUAGGGGAAGGAUAAAAUGUAAUGAAACUACAAUAAUCCAUUUAUCAAA